rnacentral:rRNA from 1 species
UACGUAGGGCGCAAGCGUUGUCCGGAAUUAUUGGGCGUAAAGAGCUCGUAGGCGGCUUGUCACGUCGGGUGUGAAAGCCCGGGGCUUAACCCCGGGUCUGCAUUCGAUACGGGCUAGCUAGAGUGUGGUAGGGGAGAUCGGAAUUCCUGGUGUAGCGGUGAAAUGCGCAGAUAUCAGGAGGAACACCGAUGGCGAAGGCAGGUCUCUGGGCCAUUACUGACACUGAGAAGCGAAAGCAUGGGGAGCGAACAGG